GCUGUUUUAUUUACAGCAGCAAGCCGACAACUAUUUUACAUAUUCAUUAACAAACCCUUUUGCAUCCUUUUUUUUUUUUGGGGAUUUAUUAAAAACAUCAAGUACAGGCUUUGCUAGGUCCAUGUCCAUGCUGCUUUCUCAUUUGCAGUUGCAUGGAUCACAGCUGCAGCUUGAUCCACACUUGCACCCAUUUCCACUCUCAGCACCAAAGUUCAACUCAGUACCCUCAUAGGACCUGCAAAAACCACACCAGCUCUCAAUUUUUUGUACAAUCAAGAAUCUAACUUCGAUUUGGCUGCGUAAAUAGAAUUUCUCCGAACUUGAUUAGGGUCUCAAAUUCAAACUCAAAAUGAUUGUGAUUCUUACAUCUUAGGAGGUGCAACUCCUGCGAUGAGAGUCUCAGUUCUGGUGUUCUCUGAGAUGUCAGGGUACAUGCCACAGCUGCAAGAAUUCAAGAAGAUGAGGGAAGAAAGAUUAAAGAGAAACUCUUAGGAAGUUUGUUUGGUGCAUGAGAAACAAUUUUCCAAGAAAAAGAAACUCUUACCCGUUGCAGCCGCUGCCGCACUUGCAUCCAGAGCCACAGCCACAGUUUCCUCCGCAGCAAGACAUUUUCUUUAGGGAUUUGGAAGAGGCUUAUCACUUGAC
rnacentral:lncRNA from 1 species